rnacentral:rRNA from 1 species
AUCUGCCUAUUAGUGGGGGACAAGAUUCCGAAAGGGAUGCUAAUACCGCAUACGCCCUACGGGGGAAAGCAGGGGAUCGUAAGACCUUGCGCUAAUACGAUGAGCCUAAGUCGGAUUAGCUAGUUGGUGGGGUAAAGGCCUACCAAGGCGACGAUCUGUACCGGGUCUGAGAGGAUGAUCCGCCACACUGGAACUGAGACACGGUCCAGACUCCUACGGGAGGCAGCAGUGGGGAAUAUUGGACAAUGGGGGGAACCCUGAUCCAGCCAUGCCGCGUGUGUGAAGAAGGCCUUUUGGUUGUAAAGCACUUUAAGCGAGGAGGAGGCUUACUUAGUUAAUACCUAGGAUAAGUGGACGUUACUCGCAGAAUAAGCACCGGCUAACUCUGUGCCAGCAGCCGCGGUAAUACAGAGGGUGCGAGCGUUAAUCGGAUUUACUGGGCGUAAAGCGUGCGUAGGCGGCUUUAUAAGUUGGAUGUGAAAUCCCCGAGCUUAACUUGGGAAUUGCAUUCAAAACUGUAAGGCUAGAGUAUGGGAGAGGAUGGUAGAAUUCCAGGUGUAGCGGUGAAAUGCGUAGAGAUCUGGAGGAAUACCGAUGGCGAAGGCAGCCAUCUGGCCUAAUACUGACGCUGAGGUACGAAAGCAUGGGGAGCAAAAAGGAUUAGAUACCCUGGUAGUCCAU